CAUAAGGCAAUGUGACCUCAUCAUUUCUGUUGGUUACCUUUAUUUGUGCCAAUUAUCUUUUAUACACUCUAUAAUAAUUUUUGAUUUUUACCUGGCAUUUUAUCGCUGUGGACUACAAGAAAUCCUAGGCGGGGAUCAAACCACCAAUGCUUAUACCAGUGGGCAGUCUGUCUGCCUCACCCUUGUGAGUACCUCUUUUAUAUAUAUUUUAACAUCAUUGUUUUAUUCAGAGAGCACUAUCAGUCGUCUAUUUUAUUCUCUUUGAGUGUUGAACAUACCUUUUGAAGCCUCUUUUUUGUAUUUUCUGUUGUUUUUUAAGGGACUUUGAGGGAUUCCCUUUGUGGUUGCUGCCUACCCAUUACUUAGCGCUGACUCUCUACCUCUAUCUUGUUUUUACCUAUAUUAUAUUUAUAUGCCCAACAUGUAAACUGUAUCCACCCUGUCAUUAACAAUGUAGUAAGAGUAAAUCUACUCAUAUAAGGUAUAACUCUCAAGAAAGUUGAACUAACCACUUAAUUAAUACAAUUACAACUUACCAUGGUAUAUACAUUAAUUACAUGACCAUACCAGAUAUAAAAUAUUAUAAAGCCAUAUAAUCCAUUUACUCAAAAUAUAUACAGAUGUAAAUCACUAGUUAAUUGCAUAUAUACGAUGUGAAAAGAAAAAAGUCUAAUACAACAAUCCAUGCAUGAUAUAUCUGUUUUAUAUACAAGCCCAUCCUAUAAUUAAUAUAGACAUUACUCUGUAUCAAUGCAAUGCAAUCAACUGAUAUAGUUCAUCAUCAACAUAAAUAUAUAUCCAACAAUAAUACAACAAUAA